rnacentral:rRNA from 1 species
UACGGAGGGGGCUAGCGUUGUUCGGAAUUACUGGGCGUAAAGCGCACGUAGGCGGCUUUGUAAGGUAGAGGUGAAAGCCCGGGGCUCAACUCCGGAAUUGCCUUUAAGACUGCAUCGCUAGAAUUGUGGAGAGGUAAGUGGAAUUCCGAGUGUAGAGGUGAAAUUCGUAGAUAUUCGGAAGAACACCAGUGGCGAAGGCGACUUACUGGACACAUAUUGACGCUGAGGUGCGAAAGCGUGGGGAGCAAACAGG